UGCUCCGACUGCGCCAACUGCAACUAACGACCAAAUGCAAAAUGCAGUCGAAAUAACGCUCCUCGAUGUAUCAAGGUACACUGCGGAAGUGGACUCCCGACUGAAGGAUUCAGUUGCUACAAUUCUAAAUGAUUUUUGCAAAUUAAAUCAACGUCCAAGAAUUUGUGGAGUUUCUGGUUCGUUCACCUU